CCUACGGGUGGCAGCAGUUAGGAAUAUUGGGCAAUGGAGGAAACUCUGACCCAGCAACGCCGCGUGAAGGAAGAAGGUUUUCGGAUUGUAAACUUCUGAUCUGUGGGACGAAGAAAGUGACGGUACCACAGGAGAAAGCCACGGCUAACUACGUGCCAGCAGCCGCGGUAAUACGUAGGGGGCAAGCGUUAUCCGGAUUUACUGGGUGUAAAGGGAGCGUAGACGGCGUUGCAAGUCUGAAGUGAAAGCCCGGGGUUCAACCCCGGGACUGCUUUGGAAACUGUAUGGCUGGAGUGCUGGAGAGGCAAGCGGAAUUCCUAGUGUAGCGGUGAAAUGCGUAGAUAUUAGGAAGAACACCAGUGGCGAAGGCGGCUUGCUGGACAGUAACUGACGUUGAGGCUCGAAAGCGUGGGGAGCAAACAGGAUUAGAUACCCUAGUAGUC
rnacentral:rRNA from 1 species